AUAAUAAUUUUAAUUUGGCCUAAAAGUAACAACCAAGGGCUUAAUUAAAAAAGUGAUAUUAAGCUCGAGGGUUUAAAAAGAACUUUCAGGGAUUAAUAAUCUUUAAUUAAAGAAUGGAGGGACUAAAUGGGGAUAUGAAAAGAAAAAGAAAGAAAAGAAAGGAAAGGAGAAGAGGAAGGGGAGAGAAGCUUGGGGCUGCCAUCAAUGGCAGAUGAGAGGAGAGCUUGUCUAAGCUGCGGUGGAGUUAACCGGAGGCGGAGUAGGCGCCAGAGAGUGCAGUACCAGCGACAGCAGCUUCGGUGGCGUCUGAUGGCAGCAAUAGUGAAGAAGGACAACAGCUUUUUCAACGUUGUUCAUGGCGUUUCUGGCGACAGUGGCAGCUGAAAUAGGUGGCAAUCAACUCAUCUAAGUUGGGCUUUCUGUUGAGGGCAGCAACAGUGAUAAUGGUGGCCGGAAAAGAGAGCUUCAAUGAAGGAAAAAUUAGGAAGGCAGCAUGGUUUUUGGACCUUUCUGCCAUCUUCAACGAUGUUAGAUUGAUCAGAACACACCAUCAGGCUCCCUCAUCAUGAUCUUUCCCAUGACACUAAUUACGUAGCGAUUGGGAUCCAUUGGAAAAUCAACGUUUGAGAACUGUCCGAAAUGAUUCAGGAUGAUUGAGUGCUAAAUUGAAAAUCAGAUGCUAGAACCAUCAUCUACACAUUAUUUUGAGUCUGUAGACACGCUCGGAUUGUCGAUCAGACUUUGGCUGCCAAAGAUGACAGUUAGAGUUCUUCGCCGUCCUGCAAUUUGACAGCCCGACUUCUGUCUUCAUCGGGUUUAUUGUAAAUAAUCCAUAUUUUCAUAUUUUUAGUUAUUUUACAUUCUAGACCUUCCGUAAUAGUUCUUCGCCGUCUUGCAAUAUGGCAUGCCAGUCAUGAUUAACAUUAUAUUCUUAUAAGCAUUUUAUUGAAUUAUAGAUUAGUAAGGCUUACUAUGAACUUAGUGGCCUUAAGUCUAUC